UUUUUUUUUUUUUUUUUUUAGGGCUGCACCCACCACAUAUGGAAGUUCCCAGGCUAGGGGUCACAUCAGAGCUACAGCUGUCGGGCUACACCACAGCCACAGCAACACCAGAUCCGAGCCGAGUCUAUGACCUACAUCACAGCUCACGGUAAUGAUGGAUCCCUAACCCACUGAACGAGGCUAGGGAUCGAACCCACCUCCUCAUGGAUACUAGUCGGGUUCGUUGACUGCUGAGCCACCACGGGAGCUCCUAGAAUGGGUUUUUUGUAGGCCCAGAUGAGGGGACAGAAUCAGACUAAAUACUGUUAAAUAUGAAAAUAUGAGGUGGGCUGGCGUUAUUAAAAAUUCAUUCCUGGGAGGACAACACUCACUUACAGAGCAAGUCAAAUCCAAUCAUCCUGGUGAAUAUUAGACGGAGGUCUUAGAACUCUAGACUGACCGCAGAGACAAAGGUUGAUGCAGAGGCUUCAGUUAAAUGCCAGCCCGCUGGGUAGAGAUCCCAGUUCCAACCCACUGCCCCAAGGCUACCUUCUACCUCCGUGUCUGAGGGAAUAGGAGCCCACGUUUACUUCACUUGGCGGCAGGGGCAUUUUAUAGCUUCCAUUCGCUCCCCAGCAAUCACAAAGAAUGUGUUCUGGCCCAGGCCCACCCCUCCGGGGAACAAUAACCAUUUCAUACAUUGGUAUUUAGUUACAUGGCUGUGAAUGCCCUCUAGCCAAUCAAAAUAGGGUUCUUGAAGAUCAGAUUUUCAUUUCUGCCAAUGAGGAUAUUGGCUAAAGCCACUCUGGAAAAGGAAAGAAGAGCAAACGUUCUGUUUCAAAAACUUUGGGUGUGCUUGCUUCCUAUGCACGGAUAGAGACGGUUGCUGGAGCCGUGAUGAUGGAGGUCAUAGCACAGAAUGUGGAGACACAGGCAAUUCACGCGUCAGAGAAUUCCGAUACAUCCCAAAAGAUGAAACGUAAUAACAGAAAAACUUGUGUCUUCAAAUUGGCCAAAGCAGGACAAACCCUCAUGGGUGUUAGCAUAAAGCAUAAACAAAAAUACCCGUCCUUAUUCUGGUCUUUUAAAGUCAGACUUUGCUGGAGCAAGUGCGAGGAGUCUUAGAAGCCCAUCUUAGCAGAAGUGAGAUCAGAUCUAGGGAUUGAGUCACACACAGAGCAGUUUGGACACUGAAGGUACCUUUCUCUUCAUCACAGGAAAAAAAAAAAAAAAGGUUCCCCUUUAUUUAACAAAGAUACGGAAGAUAAAGAGAAAUGUUAAGCAGAAAAGCAUUUAAAAAUCUGCUUUGAAAAGAAAAAAAAAAAAAAUCCCCAAUUCUUAUAGCUCUCCAUGUGCUGCCUGGGAUAGAAGAAAAGAGAAAGCGAUACGAAAUGAAAUGGGGCAUGAAACCCACAAGUUGACAAAACAAGUUUGCCUCCUGUUGAAAUUGACUGGACUAGAACCUCCAGAUGCCAUGGGAGCGGCCCUAGAAAAGGCAAAAAGACAAAAAAAAAAAAAAUAUGCUUAAGACUAUUCUUUUUCUUUUUUCUUUUUUGGUUUUUUGGGGCUGUACCUUCGGCAUAUGGAGGUUUCUAGGCUAGGUGACAAAACAGAGCUUCAGCUACUGGCCUAUACCACAGCCACAGAAACGCCAGAUCCGAGCCACAUCUGCAACCUACACCACAGUUCAUGGCAACGCUAGAUCCCCGACCCUCUGAGCGAGACCAGGGAUCAAACCUGAGUCCUCAUGGAUGCUCGUUGGAUCCACUUCUACUGCGCCACAAGGGGAACUCCCCUGCUUAAGACUAUGCUUAAGGAUGACCUCCCUUCUCCUGCUGAGAGACGCAGAAGGAAGCUUUCAGAGUUACUAGAGUUGUUCUUAAUUCCAGCCUUUGCUCUCUAAAACACAGAGGGGUAAGACAACUUCCCAGGUCAAACAUGAGGAGAAAUUUCCACUCUUAGCACUCACCCGAGCACUUAUCCACAGGGCUUAGAGUACAAAUGGGUGGCCACCCCCAGCGCAUGACCAUGUCAACAUUGUAUUCCAACUACCACCCACCUUCCUCACUGCCCAGUGCCCUGUCUAUGCAGUCACAGGGAGCCGACAGUGGGGUGUGCCAGCACAGAUACUGAAACACAGGAUCAGCCACUUUCUACUAAGCUCCAAACUACGCUGAGGCCACUCUACCACUAGACGCCCAGGAACCUUACAAGUGAUGCCAUUCAGGGUCUCGAGAUGGUGUGUGCAUUUCUGGGGGUCAGAAAAAGAAAACAGGGCUUUAAAGCAAAAGUCUAGGAAGCCAGGAUGGUUGAUGGGGACACUGAGAGAGGAUGGAGCUCUCUGAUCAGGACCAAGAAAAAAGACCACUGUGGGAGGCAUGGGCCAGAUGCGCUUCCUGCAAAUGCAAAGGGGCCCAGAGAUGCUCUUCUUGGCGCUGGGGUCCGUUAUCACCUGAACAGCCUGAACAGGUGAGGUUCUGGGGUGCUUGCUGAGCUUAUGAAUCACAAGCUUAUGAAUCACAGUCAUAGUAUUUUCUCCUCUAUCUCGAAGAUUAAAUUGCAAACCAUUUCAAAGCUCUAGAUUCUAGUUUACCCCUCUAGUAGGACACUAAGGCUAGUGCCCCAGAUAACCUCAUCAUUAACAAAAACAGGCCUGUUAGCAAAGUUUGUAAAGCAAACUUCUGUGCAACAACUUGCCUUUUGACCUGUAUUGGGAUACUAGGCAUCUUCUAACCAGAAGUGAUAGGAUUACAAUGAGCACAGCAUUUCAAAACAAACUGAAAAAGAAAAGGUCAACUUUCUGAUAAAGCAUUAGUGAGUCUAAGCUAAUAAUAAUACUAUGCCACAUCUCAGAAAAAUUCCAAAUACUUAAAGUUUAAAAAUGCAGUACAGGAGUUCCCGUUGUGGCACAAUAGGAAAAUUCCAUAUAUAUCUUGGAAGAUAAAUUUCCCAGGAAGUAGAUUUUUUUAUUAAAACGAGAUAGAAAAUAUAAGAGAAAAAGUAAGAAAAUUGGAGAGUCAAUCUGUGAGGACUCCCUUCCAACUUAAUGUGUUUCCAGAAGAAGAGAGAAACCAUCUUUUUUUUUUUUUAACAUUCCAGAAAAUGGUUCAGAACCGAAGUACAUGAAUUUCCAGACUGAGAUGGUCCACUGAAAGCCAAGUAAAACAAUGAAGAGAAAGACUUGCAGUGAGGUAUGUUAUAAUGAGACUUCAUUACAGAGAGAAAGGACAUCACAAAGACAAGAAGAAAAUCCUAAAAACUGUCAGAGAAGGGGAAAUAAUGAUAUUCAAAGCAACAGGAAUUAGAAUGACAGAUCUCUCAAUGGUAAUAGUGAGCCUGGAAGAGCAACACAUUCCAAAUUCAGAGGGCAAAGGAUUUCCAAUGCAGACUUCUUACCAGAUUCAACUAGCAGUCAAACUUGGAAGAUCUCAAAAAAUGUAUCUCCCAUUGCAUUCUUUUGGGGAACUUCUUUAUAGAAGAUGUGUUUUAUCAGCAAGAGAACAGAAACAAAGAAAAAGGGGGACGUGGGUCUACAAAACAGGGGAUGCCCCCUGAGAAAGAGCAAAAUGAACCCCUGAUAUGACGAUAAAAGGGGAUUCGAGGAUGGCUGUGCCCAGGUCCCAAGAGCCACAAAGCCAGCUUGGAAGAGGUCCGAGGGCCAGGUCAGACAAUGAACCAGGUGAAGCAGGACAUACCUGCUAUUUAGCAAUGUGGACAAAGAGGGGGUGAACUGGUUGUCUCUGGAGCACAGGCGUCAAGGUUGGUGACAGGUGGGGCAAACGACUGCUGUUUCUAAUAAUAAGCCUUAUAGAAAUAUCUGACUUUAGAAUUAUGCAUCUGUACAGCUUUGAUAAGGAAAGAAGCGAAGCUCAGGCAACUGAUCAGAGUCCAGAAUGAGAACUCAGGCAAUGAUCAGGAGAACCUGCAGCUAGAAGGCAAAGGUAGUUUGUAAAACUUCUGGGAAACAGAGAAGAGCUACCGAAGGCGGGGCUGAGCACCUGGCAAGAGCAGGUGAGAAGAGAAUGGCCCAGUAAACAGACAGGAAUGGGGUCACCAUUUCUUUUCAAGGAAAACAGUUCCUAACUGUGUCCUUGCCUGGAGUUACUGAGGUCAGUAGGAGCAGAGGAGCGGUAGGAGCCAAGUGUGGCGCCGGGAAGUGAGAAGGCAAGCAGAAAGGCCGUCUGGGGACACUUUGCUGCUCUUUAGCCUGGCUCUCUUCCUUUCCCCUAGAUUAGGAAGACGGCGACUCUAUCUUCUGAGACAAUGAAGUUCGGCCACGCCAGCUCACAGAGCUCAAGGCUGAAAGGGCACAGGCAGGGGUGAAAUCCCAAGUCCACGUUGGUCCCCCCAUCUCUUUCUAUGGUGCAUCCUAUUUCCAUUUCCUCCGUGUAAACCACUUCGACAACUCUUUUCUUGCCUUUAGAACCUGACACAGGUCUGGUUUCCCAAAGCCCACCCUACCCAUGAGUCCUCACGGCAGCACCUGAGGGACAAGAGGUUUGACCAUCGAUCCUGAAGGCAAUUAACUACAGGUGAAUCCUGUUAACGUUGUUAACACCUCAGCCAAAAGAAGAAGGCCACGGUGCAUCUACAGGUUAGUGAGGAUAUGACAGCCAGGUUAACACUGGUGGGAGGGAGAUCUCCUUGAACCUCACUUUGAUUCACCUGCAGAGUGAAUUCAGAGCUGCAAAACAGUAUCGAAGGGCAAAGCCUGAAAGUACCGUAUUUUUGUGUAUUUCAAGAUACUUCCACAUAGAGUUUACGCCAUCCCCCUUAUGGUAGGAAACUCAGCUUGACCUAUUUUUAUGGAAAGUAUUUACUAUUUACAUUCACAGAAUCUAUUCUCCCAGAAGUGGUUCCCAGGGUGACAGCUGUAGUUCCCGCAUCUUUCCCUCCCAUCUCAUGAGAGAAAAUUUGACUUAUUUCACUCCCAGUGUUUAUAAACGGCUUAUGAGAGAGUAGCAACAUGACAGAAAGUGUCAUUCUCUUCCUAAACACGCAUUGUUUUUUAAAAUCUUUGAUUUGUGGAUGCUUCAAUCAAAACAGUCUAUGCAUCAGUGGUGGGGGAGGUUGCCCAAGCAGGGUGUUUAGUAGUUUACGGCAACCAUCUGCCCCCAAAGGAGAUCAUGACCACUUGAGGGGUUAUAAACAGUUCCUGCUGGUGGAAGCCUCAGCUCUGCUCUACCCCAGAUUCCUUCCCUGAAAGCCGUAGCGGGGAGCAAGGGGAGAAGGGCAGUGUAACACCGGCUUCCGCUUCUUGGGGUUCAACAGCACCUCUUAUCCGGGGUGACUGAAAUAACCGCGGCUCUGGAGCCCCUCCAGACUUGUCCCUUGGUCCCCCCAACUCCCCCAGCGCCCCUGCCCCGCCCCUCGCAUGCACUCAGGACGCCUCCUUCUGGCUAGCGACGGAUAAACCAGUUCCAAGUCGGUUGGUUACUCCUCCCGAGAAACACAAAUCAUCUCUAAACAUGCAAAUCCCCCAAGUCAAAAGCAAGACCCCCCCCCCCACCACUGAUCUGUGAGAUGCGUUCAGCGUGCGGGAGUGCGCUGCUGCGUUUCUCCGAGGCCGUGGCUCAAUUUCCACAUUGAUGCUUGCUGCCUCCGGCGGCACCCCAACCCAGAUCGGAUGGGGAAGCC
rnacentral:lncRNA from 1 species